UACGGAGGGUGCAAACGUUGCUCGGAAUUAUUGGGCGUAAAGCGCACGUAGGCGGCCAAUUAAGUCGGGUGUGAAAGCCCGGGGCUCAACUCCGGAAUUGCCUUUAAGACUGCAUCGCUAGAAUUGUGGAGAGGUAAGUGGAAUUCCGAGUGUAGAGGUGAAAUUCGUAGAUAUUCGGAAGAACACCAGUGGCGAAGGCGACUUACUGGACACAUAUUGACGCUGAGGUGCGAAAGCGUGGGGAGCAAACAGG
rnacentral:rRNA from 1 species